rnacentral:rRNA from 1 species
UACGAAGGGGGGCUAGCGUUGCUCGGAAUUACUGAGCGUAAAGGGCGCGUAGGCGGCCUGAUCAGUCGGGGGUGAAAGCCUGUGGCUCAACCACAGAAUGGCCUCGAUACUGUCGGGCUUGAGACCGGAAGAGGUAAGUGGAACUGCGAGUGUAGAGGUGAAAUUCGUAGAUAUUCGCAAGAACACCAGUGGCGAAGGCGGCUUACUGGUCCGGAUCUGACGCUGAGGCGCGAAAGCGUGGGGAGCAAACAGGAUUAAGAA